CCCCAUUUCUCCCAAAGUCGGUUCAAAGCGAAAAAAAAAAAAAAGCAGAGCUGCCUCAACAUUUCAACGGAAGGCAAGUCACGGCGUUAUAGUGCAUAGCAGCAGAUCAUCUCGCGUUUCAGCGCGUGAGCAACGCUUCAACGACUUCAAGGACGAAGAGCACGUCUCCUUCCAGGCGGGUACGAUUUUGUGCAGCUUUCCGUGAUUCCUGCUGCUGCAUCGUCCUAGAUAUCGCAGGAUUAAGACACGUCAAGCUCUAAGGACAAUGGGGUUCAUCCCAGCCAUUCCUUUUGAUCUGUCCGUCCGUAUUUUGGAGGAUUUGGUUCAAGAACUCGCAUAAUUUUAAAGGAUUUUCAUUUGCUGUCCGUAUUUCGAAUCUUGCGGUCAAGGAUAGGCUCUUUGCUCGUUUCCGUCCUAGUUGCUGCCCUUAAGAAGGUGAACUCCUUCGAUUCUGCUUGUCUUAUUUAUUUGAUUAUUUUACUGUUUUUUUCAUAGUAGUUCUGUUCUCUGCUGGUUUCUUUGCUAUCGUAUGUUGAAGGUUUCUCGGCUUCUAGUGGGUUAAACUUAGUCUAUUAAUGUAUGAUGUGUGUUCCUUGUAUGAAUUAUGCAUCUCCAAACAUCUAUGAAGAGUGUGACGAGCUGGUUGAUUUUAUUUAUGGGAUUCAAGUGUUGUGUGUCUAGUGCUGGGUGUUGUUCUUUAAGAAGUUCCGAGAUUGCCAUGUUUAAUCCUCCUAUUUAGUUAGCUGAAAAUGUGACCCUAAUAUGUGUGUGGGCUGUGUGCAUAUUGGAUUUUUUAUUUAGUCUAAAAUCUCUAUUGCGCCAAGUAUUUGUGGUGAAUUUUUUUUAGUGUUCACAUCGUUUUAUUUGUCUUAAGUAUGUGUUGCUUCUUCAUCAUCUGCUCUUCCCCAUUUUUUUUCUCUCGCUUUAAUAUUUGAGGUGUCUUAAGUCACUUAACAGUUUUUUUUAGCAUCUGAUGUGUUGCCUUUAUGAGAAUUAUUGCCUGAAGUUGAUUUUCUUGCUGGGUUAAGUUUGAAGAUUUGCGGAUAUGCUCAAACAUGUAUGGUGUGGUCCAGUUUUUGGUUUAUUUUUUUUAGUCGCUUGAGUGUUUCUACCGUCGUUUUGUUUAAAGCGGCUUGUCUAAAUCAUGCUUAUGCCUUCAUGCUGCUUAAACUUUAAAUAAUAAUAAAAAAAACAAAAAUGCUUAGGCUUUGCAAGUUAUGGCGACAUAGUUCCGAGUUUUUUUUCUUUAUUUUACAAAUCUGAAAUUUUCCAGAACUUAGUCGUUAAAAUUAUUCCGAGCAUGAUCUCCUUUGGUUGUUAAUCUUUCAUUGUGAAACAUGAUGUUUUUUUUAAUAUUAAUUACCUAUAGCUUUGGUCAUGUGUAUGUGAUCAACAGAUUGUUCAAUUAUAUCGCAAAUUGGUGAUAUGCUUGAAAAUUUGCAUGUCAUGUGUGCUUAUAGUGUUGAGCUUAUUCACUAGUCCUAAUUCUUCAUUUGAAUGAAUGUGUGGUGCAUUUUUUUAUCUCUGUAAAAGAAAUUAACAGAGUUGGUGACUAUGGAUCAAAACCUUUUUAUCCCAUUUUUCUCAUGAUCGCCAGCAGCGAGUGAUUGACCAAGUCAUCUAAGUUGCUAGAUUAGUUAUCGAUAAUUUGUUAUGAAUUGUCACACUAAGUUACUGGUCAUCAUAAUAUUAGCCAGUCUUCUUUUAUAAAAUAUAUUAGUUUUCCUCAUCCCUCGCUAAUUUUUUUUAUUAUUAUUUAUGUUUGGCAUGAAAAUUCCUUGGGGUGGUUCACCACAAACCCAUCCUCGUGUAUAUCAAGAGGGCCAUAAAGGCCCAAAUGUCUUCUAUUGUAUUUUGAGUCGAGCCACUACAUCAACAAGAUAUACAAGUUCCUAAGUCAGAAGAAUUCACAACAAGCCAAAGAGAAGAAUUUUUCGGGCCGAGAGUCCAAAUUUAAUUUACAUAUUGUAUUUUGUUAUCUUUUGGCCUAAGCCCUUGUUGUAUAGCUUAUUAUCUUUGCUAGAGUAUUAGGACAGGUACAUUGGGCCUAAGACUUAAAAAUGAAGUGAGUCAGAGGUCCAGAAAGUCAAAUGGGUUAAAGGCUCAAAACAGGUGGGUCCAAAUACCGGUCCACGCAGACAGAUAACCCAGUUUGGACCCAAAUCUCUUUCCCUCUCUC